ACGGGCGGGGCUGACCGCGGUACUCCUGGGUACGCGGGGCUGCCGCCGCUGGGGCCGGGGCCGAGCUCGCCUUUUUCCGCCCCACUUCUUUCCGACCUCCUGCCCUUCUCUCGGCUGCAUUCAGCCCGGUUGUUUCCAGCGAAUUCAGCCCACCGAUCCCUCCGUCCUCCCUUCCUCCCCACGUUCCUGACUAUAGAUAUCCCUUCCCCCACUGGUGCAUCCUUCACAGUCUUUUCUCCUCAGCUGCUUUUGCUUCUGGGAUGUGAUAUUUUUGGUUGGAGCAAUGGAUGUUCUGAGAUUGCAUCUUCUUUUCUUCUCAGCAGUAGCUGUCAGCAGAGCUCAGGUGCAGCAGGAGCCUACUGCAGAGACACUCGAGGGCACCGGUAUCAGCGUCACCUGCUUACAUCCCAGUAUACAGGGCGAAGACAACAUCCAGUGGUAUCGUCAGCUCCCGGGUCAAAGCCCCGCAUUCCUCGUCAGCGCUUUUAAAGGCUCCAAGGAGGUGCCGGACCCGCUGGGGCGGCUGUCGGUGUCGGAAGACCGCCGCUCCAGCUCCCUGUGGCUCUCCCGGCCCCGGAUCGCGGACGCGGCGGUGUAUUACUGCGCCGUGAACCCACGGGAAGCCAAGCCGAGGCUGCGGCCGGGCACGAACCGCUUUGGGCGUGGUGGGGGCACAGUGCCGUCGGGACCCGCAGGGGGCGCUGCCACUCCUCCCGCCUUAUUCGCCUCUCCCCUCCCGGCUGCGUACGAGCUGAGCAAGUCCCUCGCUCUGCUCGGCAUCCCACGGAGUUACGGUUUCCAGCUGCACACCUUCUUGAGUGUUGAGUGUAUGUUCUGAUGUCACGGACACCUUCAUGUGAUCUCCUCAGUGGCACUGUUUUGAGAGUAUGAGACUGAGAGUAUUCAGGGCCUCUUGUGGUAGAACAUCUAUCUGUCUUUUUCAGCUGCAAGGGACAAUGCUCAAGACGAGUCUCUGCAGUCUGUCACAACCUCCUGUUCUUCUUUGGGUGGAGAAGGGUCGAUAUUAGUACUCAUCUGCAGCCAAGCUGUACUCCCACAACAAUUCUGAAGGCAAUUAACUUUGGAAAGUAACAUCAAAAGCUCAAAUGAGAUGCAGAAAUAUUCAAUGAAUUUUUAAUAGAGGAAAUGGAUUUGUACAGAGCUUCAUAGCACACAGGAGCAGAAGGGAGAAAAAAUAAAGGGGGAGAGGGGCGUGGGUGGAGAGAAGGAAGAAGAAAAUAAUGUGGAAGGGAUUGGAAGAGACAUGAGCCUUGUUUUCAGAAAGCCUAGAAUUGCCCCUUCCUGCCAGCAUUCCCCAGAAUAGCUGAGGACUGUCAAGGACUCUGAAAGCAGUCUUGAAAAUUCCUUCUUGAUACAGCAUCACGUUC